GAAGCCAAAAGGUGUCACAUUAU
rnacentral:piRNA from 1 species